GAUGAACGCUGGCGGCGUGCCUAAUACAUGCAAGUCGAGCGAACAGACGAGGAGCUUGCUCCUCUGACGUUAGCGGCGGACGGGUGAGUAACACGUGGAUAACCUACCUAUAGGACUGGGAUAACUUCGGGAAACCGGAGCUAAUACCGGCUAAUAUAUUGAACCGCAUGGUUCAAUAGUGCAAGACAGUUUUGCUGUCACUUAUAGAUGGAUCCGCGCCGCAUUAGCUAGUUGGUAAGGUAACGGCUUACCAAGGCAACGAGGCGUAGCCGACCUGAGAGGAGGAUCAGCCACACUGGAACUGAGACACGGUCCAGACUCCUACGGGAGGCAGCAGUGGGGAAUAUUGGACAAUGGGCGCAAGCCUGAUCCAGCCAUACCGCGUGAGUGAAGAAGGACUUCGGGUUGUAAAGCCCUUUUGUUGGGAAAGAAAAGCAGCAGGUUAAUACCCCGCUGUUCUGACGGUACCCAAAGAAUAAGCACCGGCUAACUUCGUG
rnacentral:rRNA from 1 species